GCCUACGGGAGGCAGCAGUAGGGAAUCUUGCACAAUGGGGGAAACCCUGAUGCAGCGAUGCCGCGUGAGUGAAGAAGGCCUUUGGGUUGUAAAGCUCUUUCGUCGGGGAAGAAAAUGACUGUACCCGAAUAAGAAGGUCCGGCCAACUUCGUGCCAGCAGCCGCGGUAAUACGAAGGGACCUAGCGUAGUUCGGAAUUACUGGGCUUAAAGAGUUCGUAGGUUGUUAAAAAAGUUGGUGGUGAAAUCCCAGAGCUUAACUCUGGAACUGCCAUCAAAACUUUUCAGCUAGAGUUUGAUAGAGGAAAGCAGAAUUUCUAGUGUAGAGGUGAAAUUCGUAGAUAUUAGAAAGAAUACCGAUUGCGAAGGCAGCUUUCUGGAUCAUUACUGACACUGAGGAACGAAAGCAUGGGCAGCGAAGAGGAUUAGAUACCCUCGUAGUCCAUGCUGUAAACGAUGUGUGUUAGACGUUGGAAAUUUAUUUUCAGUGUCGCAGCGAAAGCAAUAAACACACCGCCUGGGGAGUACGACCGCAAGGUUAAAACUCAAAUGAAUUGACGG
rnacentral:rRNA from 1 species